rnacentral:lncRNA from 1 species
UGUUUGAGACAUGGCACUACUACUAUAGAUGACCUUGCACGUGUAGUUGGAUACUUGGGCAUAUCUAGAUUUGAGUCACACACUAGAUCUUAUUCCACACAAGGAAGCUAUGACCCACAUGGAAAUCCUUCAUUCAUGUGUCAUAUUCAAGUGCCUAGUAACCUCCACAGUCUUAGGUAGUAUACAUGUCAGAUUUUGCUGCCUCGAUCUUCAGAUGGCCAAUCCAGUAUGAGACAGAGGAUCAGUAUUAGGACGGCUAUCCAAAAGGUGGAGCUUAUAGACCACAGGAAUGGGCAACAAAUUAUCUGAAAAUUGAAGUAAUAUCCCUAACCCAGAUUAUGACCAGGAUUCCAGCAUCUGCGAGAAAUAAGCACUCUACAAAAUUUAGAUAUUGAUACGCAUUUUGUA